rnacentral:rRNA from 1 species
AUUGAACGCUGGCGGCAUGCCUUACACAUGCAAGUCGAACGGCAGCACGGGGGGUAUCCCUUGGUGGCGUGUGGCGCACGGGUGUGUAUUAUAUCGGAAUGUGUUCUGUAGCGGGCGAGGAUCUCUUGAAAGAUGGACUAAUACCGCCUACGACCUAUGGGUGCCAGAGGAGGCCCGCAAGGCUUCGCAUCUUGGUAUCGGUCGAUAACGGAUUAGCUAGUUGGUGAGGUAACGGCACACCAAGGCAACGAUCCGUAGCUGAUCUGAGAGGACGAUCAGCCACACUGGAACUGAGACACGGUCCAGACUCCUACGGGAGGCAGCAGUGGGGAAUUUUGGGCAAUGGGCGCAAGCCUGAUCCAGCCAUGCCGCGUGAGUGAUGAAGGCCUUCGGGUUGUAAAGCUCUGUCGGCGGGGACGAAACUGUUCGUGCUAAUACCACGGACUACUGACGGUACCCGCAGAAGAAGCACCGGCUAACUACGUG